CGCGUAGGUGGUUUGUUAAGUUGGAUGUGAAAGCCCCGGGCUCAACCUGGGAACUGCAUCCAAAACUGGCAAGCUAGAGUCUCGUAGAGGGGGGUAGAAUUCCAGGUGUAGCGGUGAAAUGCGUAGAGAUCUGGAGGAAUACCGGUGGCGAAGGCGGCCCCCUGGACGAAGACUGACGCUCAGGUGCGAAAGCGUGGGGAGCAAACAA
rnacentral:rRNA from 1 species